rnacentral:rRNA from 1 species
AUCGUGCCCUUUGGCCUGGAAUAACACGAGGAAACUUGUGCUAAUACCGGAUAAGUCUUUACGGAGAAAGCUUUAUGCACCAUUGGAUGAGCCUGCACUUGAUUAGUUUGUUGGGGGGGUAAUGGCCUACCAAGACUGUGAUCAAUAGCUGAUUUGAGAGGAUGAUCAGCCACAUUGGGACUGAGACACGGCCCAAACUCCUACGGGAGGCAGCAGUGGGGAAUCUUGCACAAUGGAGGAAACUCUGAUGCAGCGAUGCCGCGUGAGUGAAGAAGGCCCUUGGGUUGUAAAGCUCUUUCGUCGGGGAAGAAAAUGACUGUACCCGAAUAAGAAGGUCCGGCUAACUUCGUGCCAGCAGCCGCGGUAAUACGAAGGGACCUAGCGUAGUUCGGAAUUACUGGGCUUAAAGAGUUCGUAGGUGGUUGAAAAAGUUAGUGGUGAAAUCCCAGAGCUUAACUCUGGAACUGCCAUUAAAACUUUUCAGCUAGAGUAUGAUAGAGGAAAGCAG